GUGUGUUGCUGGGUAAAGAUAUGACAACCUUGUCUGAACAGGGUGAUAUUAUAGCCAGGGCACAAGGAAAGUAUGAAGAGACAAGACAGGACAGCUAAAUCUGCAGAGCUGGACAACAGAUGUGCAGUUAAUCUCUCAAGAAUACAGAGGAUGGAAGGCUCCUGUGUGAACUGAACCAAGUCAUUUAGCCAAUCUGUGCCUCAGUUCCCAUCUAUAAAACAGGCUGCUCAGACAUUUCCAUGGCCUGGAGGCAAAGAUCCUUUGAGCAGAUGUCUCUGGUCUCCAGCUGUUUCCCCCAGGAUUUGAAGUCAGCCCUGAAGCCAGUAUCCACAUUACUUCAGACUGAUCCUGUGGCCAGUUCACGGGAGGACAAAUCCCACCCUGUGUUGAAUGACUGAGAAGAAAUCUCCAGGAGGAGAUAGAUCUUUGCAGAGUUUUCCUUCCCCUCUAGCCCCCACCACAGGUUAUUCCACAGGAGGGGUGCCCAGGCCUAUGUCUUUUUUUUUAAUUAAACCAUCUGUAAAAACAGCACAAAGUUAAU